rnacentral:rRNA from 1 species
UACGUAUGGUGCAAGCGUUAUCCGGAUUUACUGGGUGUAAAGGGAGCGCAGGCGGCACGGCAAGCCGGAUGUGAAAGCCCGCGGCCCAACCGCGGGACUGCAUUGGGAACUACCGGGCUGGAGUGCCGGAGAGGUAGGCGGAAUUCCUAGUGUAGCGGUGAAAUGCGUAGAUAUUAGGAGGAACACCAGUGGCGAAGGCGGCCUACUGGACGGUGACUGACGCUGAGGCUCGAAAGCGUGGGGAGCAAACAGG